GUGCCCCUCUAAUAGGCUUGUCCACAGAACCCGCCACUGUAAUGACCAAUCUAUAACCCACCAAUUCAAUAAAAAUUCAAUAGCAUGACAUGACAAUUUUAUCAUUAUCCAACCUAUCAAGGUAAACAAUAAUUUAUACAUUUUCAACACAAAUACCCAUCCAGCCAUUCAUGCCCACAUUAUCAUAAGCCAUUCAAUUCAAAACAUAAUUUAUAAUACAGUAAGUAGUCUCCAAUUACUCCAUUUUCAAAACCAUCAUUCAAUUUCAAGAUAAUUUAUAAAAUCAUUUCAUUUAAUCACAUUUUGCUUUAUAAAACAUAAAGAUUUACCAUUUAAACUCAUUUUCCAUAAAAUCACAAAAACGAAUUAAAAUUCACUUCAGAUAAUCAAGAUGAUGAUAAGGUUACGCACUGUAAUGGAAAUCGAGUUCUGAGUACUCCGAUUCUUGAUCCUCGGGUACUAUCUAUUUACUUUUUCUAGAAAGCUCACCACCUAGACAUAAUGCACAAUAAGCCAUUUACUACAUUUGUGCUAAACUGUUAUAAAACUAAUUCAGGCUCUACACUAAUGCAUGAAAUGGAAUGUGAAAUGCUCUGGUAACCAUCUAAAUGCGACGUUCAAUAUAAGUUUAAUUGUGUACCUAAAUAAAAUGGUAUUAGCCUAAUUCAAUCUAUCACCCGAUUAAUUAGCCAAUACGUCCAAUUCAACUCCAAAUAAUUCCAUUUCUCUGCCAAUACUCCAAAUCAUCAAACACAAAUGAAAUAACUUGAAAUAUGGUAAAAUCAUCCUCACAUUUUCUCUUGGAAAAAUUCAGCGAUGGAGGUUCUUGAGGGGUAUACGGUUUUUCAUGCUAAACAUUACCAUUUUCGGUUUCCACCACCACAAUUCAUUAAAUUCUAGCUAAAUAACAUAAGACAUCAUAAGAUUCAUCUUCAAUAUUUUCUUUAUGAAAUUCAGCCAAUGAAGAAUCCAUGAAGAAUAUGUGAUUUUUCUUACUUGUUUUCCUUCCAAACAGAUAAAUCAACUAAAAACACUAAAAUAUCUCAAAAUCUAACCAAAUAAAUCAUCAAAUCUUCUCUCUCUAAAUAUGGCCAGCCAUGAAUCCUUCAUGGUAUCUUGUGAUUCAACCAUGAAAAAUGCAAAAGAAUGCAUAGGAAAGAUAGAUCACAAGAUAGAGUUAAGAAAUUUCACCUUUGAUGUCUUGAUUCCUUGAAAUCUAGAGAUUUUCCCUUGAAUUUCUUAGCUAGGGUUUUGUUCUUCUUCUUUUCAUCCCUUUUCUUCCUUUAGCCGACCAAGAGAAC
rnacentral:lncRNA from 1 species